CGCGUGUUAUAAGCAUAUUUAUGCAUAUUUUGUGCACCGCGGCUGAUCCAUUUAACUCAGCACACGUGUUCGUUAUUUCCAUCAAUGGCUCCGGUGUGUUAUUUUAGAUUCGGAGCGUAGCGAUUAUAAAUUUAUUGGUUUUACAGUGAUGUUUAUUUUUUUUUUCUGCGAAUAACUUUUUUACCAGAUAUUUUGUUCCGGUUAUCAAGUGCAACGAUUAUUAAUGGACAUUUUAAUUUUGCGAUUUUUUUACGUAAUGUUUAUUCGGUUGGUACCUACUCCUUGGAUACAAUUGUUAGACUAAACAGAAAUGCUUGACAAUUUCAGAAAGUUCAUUAUGAGUCGUAAUUCGUGGCCAAAAAAAAAAAUUAAAUUGUUUAUAACGUAGAAUUUUUUUUUUUUUUUAUAACAGUUUUAAUAUCAAAUUUCGACGAAAAUCGAAACAUAUUACGGCCUUUCAAAACACACGUGACCGAAUCUCGCUCAGAAUCUUUUUCCGUCGGCAAAGAUUAACCGUCGCGCACAGACGUGUACC